CAGGCUUGAACGAGCAAAGUUGUUGUUUUGUUGUUGAUGAACUGCCGUAUCUGACUGAUGUUUCGGAUAUUCAUGUAAGCUUUUUUGCAGACCCGGCUUACAUGGCAUUCAGCACUGAGUGUGGAGUCAAACAUGACACCAAGAUUUCUAGCCUCCUGGCUAGGUUCGAUGACACAAGAUGACAACUUAAGAAUGGGAAGUGUUAACUUUGUUCUCAUAGCUUUUGAUGCAAUCACAAGCAUCUCAGUCUUUUCCUCAUUCAGCUUUAAGAAAUUCAUGGUCAUCCAAGUCUUGAUGUCUUCUGUGCACUCUGCAAUUCUGGAGAAAGCAGUAUUGAUUGAGGUUUUAUCCUUCGGCUUGAAUGAUAGAUACAGCUGUGUAUCAUCUGCAUAUAGAUGAAAGCAAAAAUUGUGUGCUCUGGCAAUAUCUCCAAGUGGAGAAGUGUACAUCGUGAAAAGUAUAGGACCCAGUACCGAACCUUGCGGAACACCAUACUUGAGCUCUGUCAUGUCAGAGCUAUAACCAUCCACAUACACAGCCUGGUAUCGGUUUGACAGAUACGAAUUAAGCCAGAGUAGCGCUUCUCCGGUAACUCCAAAUCUAUCCUCUAGAGUACAAAGUAGUAUUCUCU